UACGUAGGCAGCGAGCGUUGUUCGGAAUUACUGGGCGUAAAGCGUGCGCAGGCGGUGAGCUGUGUCCGAUGUGAAAGCCCCGGGCUUAACCUGGGAAUGGCCGUUGAAACUGGCGAACUGGAGUGUGGCAGAGGGGGGUGGAAUUCCGCGUGUAGCAGUGAAAUGCGUAGAGAUGCGGAGGAACACCGAUGGCGAAGGCAGCCCCCUGGGCUAACACUGACGCUCAGGCACGAAAGCGUGGGGAGCAAACAGG
rnacentral:rRNA from 1 species